GAUGAACGCUGGCGGCGUGCCUAAUACAUGCAAGUCGAGCGAACAGACGAGGAGCUUGCUCCUCUGACGUUAGCGGCGGACGGGUGAGUAACACGUGGAUAACCUACCUAUAAGACUGGGAUAACUUCGGGAAACCGGAGCUAAUACCGGAUAAUAUAUUGAACCGCAUGGUUCAAUAGUGAAAGACGGUUUUGAUGUCACUUAUAGAUGGAUCCGCGCCGCAUUAGCUAGUUGGUAAGGUAACGCCUUACCAAGGCAACGAUGCGUAGCCGACCUGAGAGGGUGAUCGGCCACACUGGAACUGAGACACGGUCCAGACUCCUACGGGAGGCAGCAGUAGGGAAUCUUCCGCAAUGGGCGAAAGCUUGACGGAGCAACGUCGCGUGAGUGAUGAAGGUCUUCGGAUCGUAAAACUCUGUUAUUAGGGAAGAACAAAUGUUUAAGUAACUAUUCACGUCUUGACGGUACCUAAUCAGAAAGCCACGGCUAACUACGUG
rnacentral:rRNA from 1 species